GGGGCGUGGUCCAUCACGUGACGAGGAAAUGCCGUUAAUAGCGUAGUCCCAGCGUCCCCGACGCUCUGGGAUGACGUAAGCCGUGAGAGGCGGGGCGGGAGGGGAAACUGAAGCUCCGGUGUGGCUCACGGUGCGCGGUUUGAUUCAGGAGUACUGUGCGUAUUACUCAACGCAGUUUGAGCUUUCAGGCUAAAUGACCUUUGUGCCUGUGAUACCGGAGUCCUACAGCCAUGUUCUUGCAGAAUUCGAGUCUCUGGAUCCAUUACUUGCAGCCCUGAGGCUGGACUCCACUCGUCUAAAGUGUACAAGCUUAACUGUGUCUCGAAAAUGGCUAGCCUUGGGCACUUCAGGAGGAGGACUCAAUCUCAUUCAGAAAGACGGCUGGAAGCACAGGCUUUUCCUUUCACACAGGGAAGGUGCAAUUUCUCAGGUCGCCUGUUGUUUACAUGAUGAUGAUUAUGUUGCUGUAGCUACCAGUCAAGGUCUUGUAGUUGUUUGGGAAUUAAAUCAAGAGCGUCGUGGAAAACCAGAAAGAAUUUAUGUGUCUUCAGAACACAAAGGCCGAAAAAUUACAGCUCUCUGUUGGGAUACAGCUAUUCUUAGAGUUUUUGUAGGUGAUCAUAUGGGGAAAGUUUCUGCCAUCAAACUCAACACUUCUAAACAAGCAAAGGCAGCUGCUGCCUUUGUGAUGUUUCCUGUUCAGACAAUAACAACAGUUGACUCCUGUGUUGUCCAGUUAGAUUAUUUGGAUGGAAGACUACUUAUAUCUUCACUUACUCGAUCCUUCUUGUGCGACACUGAGAGAGAAAAAUUUUGGAAAAUUGGAAACAAGGAAAGAGAUGGAGAAUAUGGGGCUUGUUUCUUCCCUGGAAGAUGUUCUGCAGGCCACCAGCCCCUAAUAUAUUGUGCUCGCCCUGGCUCCAGGAUGUGGGAAGUAAACUUUGAUGGAGAAGUUAUAAGUACACAUCAGUUUAAGAAACUCCUGUCCUCGCCACCUCUCCCCGUGAUUACUUUAAGAUCAGAGCCUCAGUAUGAUCAUACAGUUGGAUCUUCCCAGUCCUUGUCUUUCCCCAAACUUUUACAUCUUAGUGAGCAUUGUGUGCUGACUUGGACAGAAAGAGGAAUUUAUAUUUUCAUUCCUCAGAAUGUUCAGGUUCUUCUUUGGAGUGAAGUCAAAGAUAUUCAGGAUGUGGCUGUCUGCAAGAAUGAGCUGUUCUGUUUGCACCUAAACGGGAAGGUCUCACGUCUUUCCCUGUUGUCUGUGGAACGCUGUGUGGAACGCCUGCUAAGGAGAGGCCUGUGGAACCUGGCUGCUCGAACUUGCUGUCUUUUCCAGAAUUCUGUCAUUGCCAGCAGAGGAAGAAAAACUUUGACUAUAGAUAAAUUGGAACAUUUGAAAUCUCAACUGGACUUAACAACCUAUGGUGAUCUAAUUUCUCAACUGGAAGAACUGAUCUUAAAAUUUGAACCUUUGGAUUCAGCUUGUAGUAGUAGAAGAAGCUCCAUUUCAUCACAUGAAAGUUUCAGUAUCUUGGACUCUGGUAUUUAUCGUGUCAUUAGUAGUAGAAGAGGCAGUCAGUCAGAUGAAGACUCUUGUUCCCUUCACAGCCAAACCCUCUCAGAAGAUGAGAGACUUAAAGAAUUCACCUCACAUCAAGAAGAGGACCAACCAGAUCAGUGUUGUGGCUCACAAGGAACUGAAGUGACGUAUGAGACGGAUAAGAAUGAAACUUUUCUCCCCUUCAGCAUCCCACUGUCGUUUCGUUCUCCAUCUCCUCUAGUGUCUCUUCAGGCUGUCAAGGAAAGUGUUUCUAGCUUUGUGCGUAAAACUACUGAGAAGAUCGGCACCCUUCAUACUAGUCCUGAUCUGAAAGGGAGACCAGAACCCAGGGGUGAUGAGCAGUCAUGUGAAGAAGAUGUGAGUCCGGUCACUUGCCCAAAGGAGGAAGACACUGUGGGGAAAGAAGUAGCCAGUCAACCUCCAGAAGAAGACGAGUUACAAGAGCUCAAAAUAGCAACAGCAGAAGCCAUAACCAAGCUACAGGACCCACUGGUUUUGUUUGAACCAAAGUCUCUGAGAUUGGUUUUACAGGAGUGGCUUUCACACUUAGAAGAAACAUUUGCCGUGGAGGACUUCUCAAGCAUUUCAGAUACUGACAACUCAUCCAUGAAAUCAAACCAGAAUAUACUAUUGCUUGAUGGGUCAAGAAAGGGAAUAUUAGAUGAAGAACAUGAAAAAGAAAAAAGGAACUCUUUACGCAAUGAAGAAACUGUUCAUCAAACAGCAUAUGAGUCUGUAAAUAGUCCGAGGGAGCCCUUGGAUGAUGACCUUUUUCGAGUAUGUUCUCCGUGCAGUAUAGCAAACGAUCUUCUGAAGGACCUGGCUGAACUGACAACGUUGUGUUUGGAAUUGAAUGUAUUGAAUUCUGAGAUCAGAAAUGCAGGUGGAUGUGUGGAUCACACUUUGCAACAGUGCUCACCUGAAAUUCUGGCUUGUCAUUUCCUAAAGAAGUACUUUUUUCUCCUGGACUUGAAAAGAGCAAAGGAGAGCAUCAAGCUGAGUUACACUAACAGUCCUUGUAUUUGGGAUACUUUUAUUGAAGGAUUGAAAGAAAUGGCAAGUUCCAAUCCUACAUAUAUAAAGAUGGAAGAAGGAGACCUCCCAGCAAAAUUAAAGUUACUGGAUGAUUCGGUCCCUUUUGACAGUCCUUUGUUGAUUGCUUAUGCUACCCGAUUGUAUGAGAAAUUUGGAGAAUCUGCCCUUCGAUCCUUAAUCAGGUUUUACCCAUCCAUUUUGCCUUCAGAUGUCAUGCAACUUUGUCAUUACCACCCCGCUCAGUUUUUGGCCUAUUUAGACAGUCUGGUGAAAUCAAGGCCUGAAGAUCAACGGCCAUCCUUCCUUGAGUCCCUUCUACAACCAGAGUCUUUAAGAUUGGAUUGGCUGCUGUUGGCAGUGUCCCAUGAUGCUCCCCCAAGCACCAGCACUGUAGACGACGAAGGAAAUCCCAGGCCUCAUUCCCACUUGUUUUCUUGGGGUUACAGUCAGCUAAUCCUUCAUCUAAUUAAACUUCCUGCAGAUUUUACAACAAAAGAGAAAAUGACUGACAUCUGUAGGUCUCAUGGUUUCUGGCCUGGAUAUCUUAUUCUCUGUUUGGAGCUGGAGAGAAGAAGAGAGGCCUUCACCAACAUUGUGUACCUGAAUGAUAUGAGCCUGAUGGAAGGUGACCUUGGUUGGAGCCCAGAGACUGUGGAGGAAUGGAAGCUGCUUCUACACCUCGUACAGAACAAGAGCACAAAGCCAGCCCCCCAGAAGCCACCAAACGGGAACUUCAGUGAUGGGCCUUCCCCUGUCAACGUGGAGAAUGUAGCACUCCUGUUAGCUAAGGCUAUGGGCCCAGAUCGGGCCUGGUCGCUAUUGCAGGAAUGUGGUUUGACCCUUGAGCUGUCAGAGAGGUUUACCAGGACCUGCGAUAUUUUGAGGAUUGCCGAGAAAAGGCAGAGAGCCUUGAUACAAAGCAUGCUUGAAAAAUGUGAUCGGUUUCUCUGGUCUCAGCAGGCCUAGUGGAGGAAGAUUCAGCAGGGUGUCUCGGCAUUUUGAGAAAAACUGAAUCGUGCUCCUGAACCUUCUGAAAUCAUUUGCUAUUGAAGGAAAGGCCCCACCUGAGAUCCCUGCAACCUUAUUGGGAGCACUUUUAUUCUUCUCCAUCAUUGGUUAUUACAGGAUAUUGAAUAUAGUUCCCUAUGCUUUACAAAUCUAUGGGUCCUUAAGAAUUGUGCUAAAUCUGCUCUGCCUGUGCUCUAUAAAGGGGAUGACAGCGUGGAUGACAGUACCAGUGUUUACAGCGUCACAGUUUAAUGAACAUUUUAAGCUCACUGUUGAGCCCUACUGCUCAGAAAAAAAGAUUCCUUUCAAAAUAUUACUGCUCGUUUACAAUGCAUUUGGUCACACAAGAGCUCUGAUGGACAUGUACAAGAUUCAUGUUUUUAUGUCUACUCAUACAAUACCCAUUCUGCAGCCCAUGGAUCAAGGAGUAAUUUCAACUUUCAAUCUUACUGCUUAAGAAAUACAUGUUGUAAGGCUGAACUGCCAUAGAUAAUGAUUCCUCUGAUGGAUUUGGGCAAAGUAAAUUGAAAACCUGGAAAGGAUGCACCAUUCUAGAUGCCAUUAAGAACAUUCACAAUUCAUGGGGAGAGGCUAACGUAUUAACAACCGGAGUUUGAAAGAAGUUGAUUCCAGCCCUCAUGGGUGGCUUUGAGGAGUUCAAGACUUCAGUGGAGGAAGUAACUGCAGAUGUGGUGGAAAUAACAAGAGAACUAUAAUAAGAAGUGGGACUUGAAGAUGUGACUCAAUUGCUGCAAUCUCAUGAUGAAACUUUAACAGUUGUUUCUUAUGAAAGAGCAAAGAAAGUGGUUUCUUGAGAUGGAAUCUACUCUUGGUGAAGACUGUUGAAAUGACAGCAAAGGAUUUAGAAUAUUACAAAAACUUAGUUGAUAAAGCAGUGACAAGGUUGAGAGAAGAUUGACUCCAAUUUUGAAAGAAGUUCUACUGUGAGUAAAAUGCUAUGAAAUAACAUUGCAUUGCUACAGAGAAACCAUUUAUGAAAGGAAGAAUCAAUUGAUGUGGCAGACUUCUGUGGGGUCUUACUUUAAGAAAUUGCCACAGCCACUCCAGCUUCAGCAAACACCACCCUGAUCGGUGAGCAACCAUCGAUAUGGAGGCAAAACCCUCCACCAGCAAAAAGAUUAUAACUCACUGAAGUCUCAGAUGAUGGUUAGCAUUUCUUAGCAUUAAAGUAUUUUUAAAGUAAGAUAUAUACAUUGUUUUUUAAAGAUAUAAUGCUAUUGCAUGCUUAAUCGAUUAUAGUAUAGUGUAAACUAAAUUUUACAUGUGCUGGGAAACCAAAAAAUUCAUGUGGCUCGCUUUAUUGCUAUGGUCUGGGACCAAACUCACAAUAUCUCUUGAGGUAUGACUAUGCUUCUGACUGACGGGCUGUGAAUCACAGGUUCCUGUGACUGCUCCCUUGGGUUCAGUUAAUUUGCUAGAGUGGCUUGCAGAACUCAGAGAAACAUGUUACUUACUAGGUUAUCAGCUUAUCAUCAAAGGAUGUCAUUCAGGAACAGCUGGAUGGAAGGGCAAGGAGCUUCCAUGCCCUCUUCCAGUGCCACUUUCACUGAAUCUCCACUUGGGCAACACCUGGAAGCUCUAGAUAAAGCAGUGGCAGGGUUGAGAGGGGAGACGGGCUGGAGGUUGACUUUAAUCACCAGUGGCCAAGGUCGGAAAGUUCCAACCCUCAAAGCACAUGGCUGGCUCCACGGGCAACCAGCUCCUAUCCUUAGGUACAGUCCAAAACUCAUCUCAUUAAUGUAACAAAUGACACCUUUCUCACUCUCCUCCCUUUGGAAAUUCCAAGGAUUUUAGGACCUCUAUGCCAGGAAAGAGGAUGAAGACCAAAUACAUUUUCUUACAAAUCACAAUAGCACACCUUCCCAAUAAGAUCAGCUGGAUCAUGGCUGUUACUAGAGUAUGUUGAAUGUGAGUGUGUACUAAGGGAAUGAGGGAGAGCUCUCCCUUCACAGUCAGCUUUUGCCAUUACACAGUGGCUGUCCAGAAGAGGGCCCAGAGGAGAUCGCAGCAGGAGGAGACAGCCUGGCACAGUUGUGCAAUCAUUUCCCUGCAGAUUUUUCUAGGGCACGUCACAGCAAUCCUCAUUUUCCAAGAGGGUACAGAGAAUUUUCUAGCAUUAAAAAAAAAAAAAAC